CACUCCUGCGGGAGGCAGCAGUGGGGAAUUUUGGACAAUGGGGGCAACCCUGAUCCAGCAAUGCCGCGUGAGUGAAGAAGGCCUUCGGGUUGUAAAGCUCUUUUGUCAGGGAAGAAACGGUAGUAGCGAAUAACUAUUACUAAUGACGGUACCUGAAGAAUAAGCACCGGCUAACUACGUGCCAGCAGCCGCGGUAAUACGUAGGGUGCAAGCGUUAAUCGGAAUUACUGGGCGUAAAGCGUGCGCAGGCGGUUGUGUAAGUCAGAUGUGAAAUCCCCGGGCUCAACCUGGGAAUUGCAUUUGAGACUGCACGGCUAGAGUGUGUCAGAGGGGGGUAGAAUUCCACGUGUAGCAGUGAAAUGCGUAGAUAUGUGGAGGAAUACCGAUGGCGAAGGCAGCCCCCUGGGAUAACACUGACGCUCAUGCACGAAAGCGUGGGGAGCAAACAGGAUUAGAAACCCGUGUAGUCCCAUG
rnacentral:rRNA from 1 species